AGAUGGGAGGGUGAUCUAACUGUGACAUCUGUCACCCUCUCAAUCACCAGGGAUGAUUUGGCUGAUCUGGCUGGCUAGGAAGGUGUCCCCUUCUUCCCUCACUGCUCCAUGUGUGUCCCCACUGAAGCUGUGCACUCAAUCAAAGAGGAUGGCCUUCCCUGAUAGAGGGAGACCAUUCUUUGGCCAAGGGUAUGUGAGUAGCUGUGCUCCGCUGCUAGAAUCUCUAAGCAAACUCUCAAGGUCCAUUUGUAGGAGAACGUAGUUUCUGAGACUCCAGACAUAUUGUGAUGAGGCAUUGCAUACAGCAGUCUGCCUUUCUUU
ensembl:misc_RNA 7SK 7SK RNA